rnacentral:tRNA from 1 species
GCUCCCAUAGUGUAGUGGUCAGCACCCAGGACUUUGAAUCCUGUGACCCCGGUUCGAGUCCGGGUGGAGUGCC